AUAUAAGUAAGCUAAAAAAGCUUUUAGGUUCAUACCCUAAAUAUAGAGGUUCUCACUCUCUUAUUUA
rnacentral:tRNA from 1 species